rnacentral:rRNA from 1 species
UACAGAGGUCCCAAGCGUUGUUCGGAUUUACUGGGCGUAAAGGGCGCGCAGGCGGUCUUGAAAGUCAGGCGUGAAAGCCCCGGGCUUAACCUGGGAAUUGCGCUUGAUACUCUGAGACUGGAGUACGGGAGAGGGGAGUGGAAUUCCCAGUGUAGAGGUGAAAUUCGUAGAUAUUGGGAAGAACACCAGUGGCGAAGGCGGCUCUCUGGACCGUAACUGACGCUGAGGCGCGAAAGCGUGGGGAGCAAACAGG